rnacentral:rRNA from 1 species
AUUGAACGCUGGCGGCAUGCCUUACACAUGCAAGUCGAACGGCAGCACGGGAGCAAUCCUGGUGGCGAGUGGCGAACGGGUGAGUAAUAUAUCGGAACGUGCCCAGUCGUGAGGGAUAACGUAGCGAAAGCUACGCUAAUACCGCAUACGAUCUAUGGAUGAAAGCGGGGGAUCGCAAGACCUCGCGCGAUUGGAGCGGCCGAUAUCAGAUUAGGUAGUUGGUGAGGUAAAGGCUCACCAAGCCGACGAUCUGUAGCUGGUCUGAGAGGACGCCCAGCCACACUGGGACUGAGACACGGCCCAGACUCCUACGGGAGGCAGCAGUGGGGAAUUUUGGACAAUGGGCGCAAGCCUGAUCCAGCAAUGCCGCGUGCAGGAUGAAGGCCUUCGGGUUGUAAACUGCUUUUGUACGGAGCGAAAAGGCUUCCACUAAUACUGGGGGCUCAUGACGGUACCGUAAGAAUAAGCACCGGCUAACUACGUGCCAGCCGCCGCCGUAAAAC